rnacentral:misc_RNA from 1 species
GAUGAAGAACGCAGCGAAAUGCGAUAAGUAGUGUGAAUUGCAGAAUUCAGUGAAUCAUCGAAUCUUUGAACGCACAUUGCGCCCCUUGGUAUCCCGAGGGGCAUGCCUGUUCGAGCGUCAUUUCACCCCUCAAGCCUGGCUUGGUGUUGGGCGACGUCCCCUUUGGGGACGCGCCUCGAAACGCUCGGCGGCGUGGCACCGGCUUUAAGCGUAGCAGAAUCUUUCGCUUUGGAAGUCGGGGCCCCGUCUGCCGGAAGACCUACUCGCAAGGUUGACCUCGGAUCAGGCAGGGAUACCCGCUGAACUUAAGCAUAUCAAUAAGCGGAGGA